GAAGCAGUAGCUCAGAUGGUUAGAGCACGGUAAUAAAGUUUUAGAAUUUUCUCUUCAGGCCAACUAAAACUUACUUCUAUGCCAGGGAUGCUGGGGUCGUUGGUUCGAGUCCAACCUGCUUCA
rnacentral:tRNA from 1 species